rnacentral:pre_miRNA from 1 species
CGCCACUUUCCACCGCGGUGAUAUUCCAAGCAAAACGGUUAUCACCGGGUGAAAAUUGGUACA